rnacentral:rRNA from 1 species
CAGUAGCCGCGGUAAUACGUAGGGUGCGAGCGUUAAUCGGAAUUACUGGGCGUAAAGCGUGCGCAGGCGGUUGUGUAAGACAGGUGUGAAAUCCCCGGGCUUAACCUGGGAACUGCGCUUGUGACUGCACAGCUAGAGUAUGGCAGAGGGGGGUGGAAUUCCACGUGUAGCAGUGAAAUGCGUAGAGAUGUGGAGGAACACCGAUGGCGAAGGCAGCCCCCUGGGCCAAUACUGUCGCUCAUGCACGAAAGCGUGGGGAGCAAACAGGAUUAGAUACCCGCGUAGUCCCUGUCUCUUAUAC